AUUGAACGCUGGCGGCAGGCCUAACACAUGCAAGUCGAACGAGUGGCGGACGGGUGAGUAAUGUCUGGGAAACUGCCCGAUAGAGGGGGAUAACUACUGGAAACGGUAGCUAAUACCGCAUACCAUCGGAUGUGCCCAUAGGGGAUUAGCUAGGAGGUGGGGUAAAGGCUCACCUAGGCGACGAUCCCUAGCUGGUCUGAGAGGAUGACCAGCCACACGGGAACUGAGACACGGUCCAGACUCCUACGGGAGGCAGCAGUGGGGAAUAUUGCACAAUGGGCGCAACCCUGAUGCAGCCAUGCCGCGUGUAUGAUGAAGGCCUUCGGGUUGUAAAGUACUUUCAGCGGGGAGGCGUUACUCGCAGAAGAAGCACCGGCUAACUCCGUGCCAGCAGCCGCGGUAAUUC
rnacentral:rRNA from 1 species